rnacentral:tRNA from 1 species
AAAAAUUUAGUUAACCCCCAUAACAUUAGCUUGUCAAGCUAAAAUCGUCAAUAUUGACAAUUUUUG